rnacentral:lncRNA from 1 species
CGGACAAGUUUUAACAAUUCGUUUCGCGUCUUUCCAUUAUUUGUUUUUGAUCCCUGCGGAAAAGCUUGUGAUGAUGUGGCUAUGUUUCUGGAAUUAAGUGUUACAUAUGUUAGAAAUUGCAUUCAAAUCGGAUUUAAUUUUCAAUACAAUUUGGAAUGUACAUAGAUAUAGUGAAAUUAAGCUUUACGGAUAGACCAACAAAAUUACCUACACACUGGCAUCAUUAAAUACAUAGCGUAUGGAAAUGAACAGAAAGACUUUACCGGAUACCAAACCGACCAUAUGCAGAUGAUAUUUUGAAAGAAAAAACACAGCUUAAAAACAUAACUUAUUCUUCACUUAAACGGAGAACUUAGACAAACACAUUGAUUCUGCACCAAGAGCCGACUGAAGGAAAUAAUAACGAUCCUAACAACGUCAGUAAAUUAAAGGAAGAAGACAGGCAUAGAAGUAGCAGGUCAUUGUUUUCUACUGUGCAAUUUGGAAGUGAAUGCUGGUUACGUUUUCAUCCACCUUGAUUGUGUAAUUAUGUCAAUUACAAUACAAAUGAAAAGGAUGUACACGGUUUCAUAUACAUUAGAUUGUAUCACACGAGACCUACAGCCAAUGACAACACAAGCCGUCUCAAACUUGGCGGGAAGAAAGAUGCAAAUAGUGUCAGUAAAUUAAGGUAUUGCAAUAAUGUGUACUAAACUGGAACCUUGGAAAAGCUUUAUAACAAUUGAAGUAUUUCUUUUUUUCAAAUGUGGACAACAACCAGUUUGCAAGACAUUUUCCUAAAACGGUUAUCAAAAAUUUUCACAACAAUCUGUUUCACCUGGCAAUUAUUUCUUAUUGACCAGAGUUGAAAACAUCGCUAAAAAGUGACUGUGGUUUUGGCAUAAAAUAGUACUUGCUUAGACUAUAUACUCAAACAUGAUUUAAGCGCCAAAACAGUUUGAAAUAUACAUAGAUAUAGAUAAGGAGUAUAAUUAAGUGUGAGCAGGUUUUAUUAUAAUAAUUAAUAUGUAUUCAAAUUGAUUUUAAGUUUUCAACGGGGUUUGAAAUAUGCAUAAAUUAGUGAAGGAAUAUAAAUUAUUUUCGAGCAGCUUUAAUUAUAAUUAUUUCUGUUUAUUCAAAUUGGAUCUAAUUUUAAAUAUAAUUUGGAAUAUACAUAGACAGAGUGAACGUGAUAUUCAGGUCAGAUUUAAUAUUCAAUAUGAUUCGGAAUAUACAAAGAUAGCGCGAAGGACGAUUAUUAUUGAUAAUUAGGUUAUGUUGUGACCAUUAACAUUCAGAUCGGAUUUCAUUUCCAAUACAAUUUGAAAUAUCAACAGGCAAAUUGAAGAAAUGUAAUUAUUGACGAUAUUCAAAUCGGAUUUAGCUUUCAAUACAUUUCAGAAUAUUCAAACAUAUAUUGAAGGUAUAUUAUUGAUGAUAUUCAGUUCGAAGUCAAUGUUAAAUGCAAGUUUGAUUGUGCAAAGCUAUAGUAUUGGAAUAUAAAUACCGAUUAUCAUAAUGGAAGUACAGCCAAGGACAACACAAUUCGCCCCAAACAUGAUGGAUAGAUGGAUGCAGUGUCAGUAAGUUAAGGUAUUGUGAACAAAAAUGGAAUCUUCGAAAGCUUUAAAGCUAUUGAAGUGUUUCUGUUUUUCAAAUAUGAAGAACAACCAAAAUGCACAACGUUUUUCUCAAAUAGCUAUUAGAAAAGUUUAUAACAGUUUAUUUCACCUGGAAAUUACUUGCUAUUGGUUUAAGUUGAAAUUAUCGCAAGCGAGUGGUUGUGGUAUAAAUUAUUACAUGCUUAGAUUAUAUACUAAAUCAAGAUUAAAGAGUCAAUACAGCUUGGAAUAUAUAGAGAAGGAGAAUAAUUAUUUGUGAGUAGGUUUUAUUAAAAUAAUCGAUAUAUACUUGAAUUGGAUUUCACUUUUCAACAGAGUUUGAAAUACACAUAAGUUAGUGAAUGAAUAUAAAUUAUUUGUGAGUUGGUUUGAUUAUAAUUAUUUCUGUUUAUUCAAACUGGAUCUAAUUUUUAAUAUAAUUUGGAAUAUAUAUAGACAGAGUGAACGUGCAAUUCAUGUCGGAUUUAAUUUUCAACAUGAUUUGGAAUAUUCAAAGAUAAAUUGAAGGACGAUUAUUAUUGAUGAUAAGGUUAUAUUGUGAUCAUUAACAGUCAAAUUGGAUUGUAUUUGCAAUACAAUAGACAAAGUGAAGAAAUGUAAUUAUUGGCGAUAUUCAAAUCGGAAUUAAUUUUCAGUACAAUGCAGAAUAUUCAAACAUAUAUUAAAGGUAUAUUAUUAUUGAUGAUAUUCAGUUCGAAGUCAAUGUUUAAUACAAGUUGGAUUCCUCAAAGCUAUAGUACAGGAAUAUAAUUACUGGUAUUGUGAACAAAAAUGGAAUCUUUGAAAGCUUUAAAGCUAUUGAAGUGUUUCUGUUUUUCAAAUAUGAAGAACAACCAAAAUGCACAGCGUUUUUCUCAAAUAGCUAUUAGAAAAGUUUAUAACAGUUUAUUUCACCUGGAAAUUACUUGCUAUUGGUUUAAGUUGAAAUUAUCGCAAGCGAGUGGUUGUGGUAUAAAUUAUUACAUGCUUAGAUUAUAUACUAAAUCAAGAUUAAAGAGUCAAUACAGCUUGGAAUAUAUAGAGAAGGAGAAUAAUUAUUUGUGAGUAGGUUUUAUUAAAAUAAUCGAUAUAUAUUUGAAUUGGAUUUCACUUUAAAGCAGAGUUUGGAAUACACAUAAGUUAGUGAAUGAAUAUAAAUUAUUUGUGAGUUGGUUUGAUUAUAAUUAUUUCUGUUUAUUUAAACUGGAUCUAAUUUUUAAUAUAAUUUGGAAUAUAUAUAUAGACAGAGUGAACGUGCAAUUCAGGUCGGAUUUAAUUUUCAACAUGAUUUGGAAUAUUCAAAGAUAAAUUGAAGGACGAUUAUUAUUGAUGAUAAGGUUAUAUUGUGAUCAUUAACAGUCAAAUUGGAUUGUAUUUGCAAUACAAUAGACAAAGUGAAGAAAUGUGAUUAUUGGCGAUAUUCAAAUCGGAAUUAAUUUUCAAUACAAUGCAGAAUAUUCAAACAUAUAUUAAAGGUAUAUUAUUAUUGAUGAUAUUCAGUUCGAAGUCAAUGUUUAAUACAAGUUGGAUUCCUCAAAGCUAUAGUACAGGAAUAUAAUUACUGGUAAGUGUUAUUUUAUUUAUUGAUACAUAUUCAAAUCUGGCAUAAUUCUCAAAACCUUAGAAAUAUACAUUGAUAAAAUCAAGGAAUGUAAUAAUCAAUUACCAGUAGUUCUAACCAUUAUAUAAAGUAAACAACAAAUAACCCAUUACAUAUCUAGUUAAUAAAAUUUAAAUCAAAUAAGGAAAUGAUCCGUGGAGUAAAUACAUUUGGAAGACUAAGAAGAGGUCUUUACUGAAUGUAAAAUAAGAAAAUUCGCUUUUCGUAAAAGUAUUUAUAAUUUUAGAAACAAUCAUAUAUAAACAGUUUAUCAGAUAUAUUUAUACUAAAUUCUGUGAUAUGCUGGAUAUAAUAUCAGGUGUUGUAAACUUACUGAAAAGCCUGUUCGGUCCUAAGUUAGAAAAAAGACAUACUUGUCAUUAUUUAAUAAAACAAUAAAAAUAAGGAUAUUUUAUUUGGAACGGACACAAAUGAUAGUUUGAUUUUUAAAUUGACUAAUAACAUUCAAUAAACAGAAAGAAAAGAAAUGUAGCAGAGAAAAUACUUACAGUACUAAUUACAAUUUGUUAAACGACCAAAUCACCAGCCAUGAUUUUAAGGCCUUUGAACCUUAAGUACAAAAAUUCAAAUAAUUAUAUCAUUUACCUUGGUUUCACUUUUGUAUGUAUGUUUAGAUAGAAUAUUGCUGCAUUUUAAUUGUUGCUAUACAAAUGAUAGACAAAUAGAGAAAUAAUGUUCUAUUAUCAAUAAUAGUUUUUUCAGAAGAAUAAUUAAUCACAUAGAAAUACAACAACAUAAAUUUAAUUUUAAGCGUAUUCUAAUUUUGUACGCUAUUUUCCGAUUUAUUUCCUUUUUUUGUCACACUUGAUAUCUAAAUGCAUGUUACACACAGAAAAACGUGAUGAAAAAUAGAUGCUUCUUAUUAAACAUUUUACUGCUCGUUCUCUCCUUUAAAUAUUCUUUUUUUUAAUUUUCUGAAAAUAUUCCUGCAAUUGUUUUGACUAAAUAAGAUUGUACAAUUCCUUGAUUAACGGGUUCAUUUUCACGCUAGGAUGCUAUGUAAAUUUGGACCUUUAAGCACAGUUAAAACGUUACGUCUUUUUUCCUUCAUCUCGUUUUGAAUAUGCAUCUUUCGACCAACUUAAAACUCAGAAUUAAUCAGGAAUAAUAAUUAUUUUCGUCAACAUUCUAUCUUUUUUUUUGGAAGCACUAAACUCUUUUUCCACAGUGACUUACAACUCUCCCAUUGAGUACUAUUAGUCACGAAUAGAGUGACUGCACCGGAUACCAAACCUGUGAACGCUCGAUUGGCGGGCGAGCGCUCCAUUCUAUUUGUCAUUCGGUCCAACAUAAUAAGUAGGGGUGAUUUUUGACUCGGUGAAUUAGACAAGAGACUAUUUUCACGGGUCAGUAGUAUUUGAAGUUUCAAAACUGGAAUUAUUUCAAAAUAGAAAUUGCACAUUUUUGUUAACCAUGGUUGAAAAUGUUCAUUUAAAAAGAUGAAAGUUAACAUUGUGGGAAGGGUUGAAUAUGCCGAUGUUGAAAUAAUGUGUAGCCCGACCCCAUAUGUUUUUUGUUUUGUUUUUUUUGUGUUAAAAAGAUUGCUUGUACUAUUUUAUGUAUGCAACAAAACAAUCAAAUAUGAUUAAAAUAUGAAACGAAAAAGUUCAUUGUUAUAUACCCUUAUUUAUCACUACCCCUUUUUUAUUCAUAUUUAAUCUUUGCCGUUUUUUUCUAUAUUUUGAUAGUGCAGUUUUAAACCAGGCCCAGAGAGGUCUUGUUUUCGGGCGGCCGGUUUCUAGAUUUUUGCGUAAUGUUUGGAAAC